UGGGGAAUCUUGGGCAAUGGGGGAAACCCUGACCCAGCGACGCCGCGUGGGGGAUGAAGGCCUUCGGGUCGUAAACCCCUGUUAGGUGGGACGAACAUCUCUCAAUAAAUAGUUGAGGGAUUUGACGGUACCACCAGAGAAAGCCCCGGCUAACUCCGUGCCAGCAGCCGCGGUAAUACGGAGGGGGCGAGUGUUGUUCGGAAUUACUGGGCGUAAAGGGCGCGCAGGCGGCAUGGCAAGUCGAGUGUGAAAUCCCUUGGCUUAACUGAGGAAUGGCGCUCGAAACUACCUCGCUGGAGGGCGGGAGAGGGAAGUGGAACUCUCGGUGUAGGGGUGAAAUCUGUAGAUAUCGAGAGGAACACCGGUGGCGAAGGCGGCUUCCUGGCCCGUACCUGACGCUGAGGCGCGAAAGCGUGGGGAGCAAACA
rnacentral:rRNA from 1 species